CCAAUAGCGUAUAUUAAAGUUGUUGCAGUUAAAAAGCUCGUAGUUGAAUUUCGGGAUUGGCGUACCGGUCGUGUCUUCGGGCAUGUACUGGUAAUGUUAAUCUCCACCUUCUAGUGAACUAUUAUGUCUUUAACUAGGUGUAAUAGGGAGCUAGGACUGUUACUUUGAAAAAAUUAGAGUGUUUAAAGCAGGCUUUAUGCUUGAAUAGAUUAGCAUGGAAUAACGAAAUAGGACGGCAUGAUUCUAUUUUGUUGGUUUCUAGGAUCACCGUAAUGAUUAAUAGUGAUAGUUGGGGGCAUUAGUAUUCAAUUGUCAGAGGUGAAAUUCUUGGAUUUAUUGAAGACUAACUACUGCGAAAGCAUUUGCCAAGGAUGUUUUCAUUAAUCAAGAACGAAAGUUAGGGGAUCGAAGACGAUCAGAUACCGUCGUAGUCUUAACCAUAAACUAUGCCGACUAGGAAUCAGACUCAGUUUAUUUUUUAAUGACGAGUUUGGCACCUUACG
rnacentral:rRNA from 1 species